GUUUGUUUGGUUUUUCCAGAGCACAGCACUAGUUACUUUCCUAAUGUACACUAGUUGGAUCAACAAGCACUUGGUUUGUUCCUUGUGAAAUGUACCAUAUGUGAGAUACGUAUGCCAGAGAAGCUAAGUAUGCAAUUAAAUCUAUGUUUAUGCAAUUAAAUGCAGCAGAACAGAUCAAUUCUUAUAAAAACAGAAACAGCAGUCAGUGUCUAUUGGCAAAACAGCUCAAACUUUGAUUGUGAUAUUAUUUAAGUGCCUUUUUCUAGUGUUCAUGAAGGAGCACUGGUAUAAAUGUUUUCUAUAUAGACACAUGCACACUCACAAAUGUGUUCUAGACGGAGUGCACGAUUGCAUAUGAUUCAUCACUAUAGUUAUUACACAGAUUGAAGAUUAUGGCACCAUAUACAGACCACACACACACAAACACACACACACUGUUCACAUCACCUGCAUCAUCUCUCUUGUUCCAAUCCAGAUGCAGUUAGAAAGAGAAGCAGGUGCAGUUAAUGUAUGAAUCAACUUUUUUACUUUUUUGUCCUUUAUUCUGUCUCUCUUGUCAACAUAGCAAAGAUCUCAGAGUUUCCUAAAAGCAUUACUCACGUUCAAAUAGCAACAUCACAUCGAACACUCCAGAUAAGACUAUUUUUUGUUUUUUGGGAAAUUGGGCCUUUGUUCACUACAUUAAGUUCAUACAAGCUGUAGAUCUGUUAUAAUAUUGAUAAUAUUACUAUUGACAAAAUGGCUGGUGUGCAUUUUUUCACAUUGUUUGAAUUCAGCAGCAAUAUGUAGAUAUAUAGUGAGAGAAAUUGCACUUAUCAUGUAGCCAGGAAGUCAGACGACAACUCUUUUCGUUUAUUUUUAUUUUUAUCUGAGAGAUUGAUGUCAAGCUUUAGCCCUAUCUGUCCUGAAAAGCUAAGGGUUGUUAUAGUGAGUGGCACUGAACAGGAACCAAAAUAUAUUUAACUUUAUUAUUAUUAUUUUUUUCAUUGAUGGAUUCAUUACUGUUCAAGCAACUGUAUCUAUUUCCAUACAGACUUCCUUCUGUACAGGCGUUCCAAGGAGUUUAGGCUUGUCCAAAGAUGAAGUAGAUAAGUGACAGGUGUUAGUAGAUUAUUUUAUUUAUAGUGAUCCAGUGGAGAAGUACCCUCAUUUAGCACACACCAGGUUUUUUUUUUUCUUCUCUCAUCCCACAACCUGAUGAAGGAUUUAUAUACUUAUAUAAUUAAUGCAAUCACUUAGCUCGCCAUACAUUAUUACAUUAUUUAAGCUACAAUAGUACCAUUUUUAGUCUAGUUCAUUAGAUUUCUGGGCAUCUGGAAUUUCAGUCAAACCAGUGAAAGCAGAACAGUUUCUGUUCAAGUGACCAGACGGCUGAGAGUUCGAAUCCAAGUACUGUUAGAGAGCCACUGCUGAGCCAUUGAGUGAGACUCUUAACUGAAUUCUGCCUUACUUCUGUCACUUUGGAUCCAAGCGUCUGCCAGAUGAGUAACUGUAAAUGUAGGUAUAUACAGUAUACUUGUCACCCAGCUCCCUGGUUAAAUGAAUUCUGGUUUUAGGACUACAAAAAACUGCAUCUAGCAUUUCCCAUUUCAGAUCAGUAACUAUGAUGAGAAUGAAUUAUGUUUUGCAUUUGAAGUACUAUAAUGAAGGAACAUUGUUGCUGUUAAGGGUUAACGGUUGUGGAUAUAUUUUUAUGCAAACUUUUAUAUUGGAAAACUUUUUAACUACUCUGUAAUUAAUGUAAAUAUAGCUGUACAAUUGUGUAAUGAAUCGUUUUGCUCAAGAUACUGAUUAAAUGGCAAAAGACAGGAAUGAAACAGAUGUAAUCGACACACUGGAAAGAAAUCUUAUACAUGUUUGUACCGUCACUUUAUAUAGC
ensembl:lncRNA